rnacentral:lncRNA from 10 species
UUAACAAAAGGUUGCUCAGCAUCUAUCAAGGCUAUCAUAAGGUUCUGGUAUGAAGAUGGCUUCAUAGCAUCAUCCCUCCUCCUGAUGGCUGGAUUCCCUCCUCCAUUUUUUUUUUUUUUGGAAUAGUUUAAGUAGAAUUGAUACCAGCUUUUCUGUUAAAAUUUGGUUGUGAAUCCAUCUGGUCCAGGUUAGUUGGAAGGGUCUGCUGCUUCACUCCUGAAGUCAGCUAGACCAUGAACCCACCAGGAGGAACAAACUCUGGACACACCAUCUUUAAGAACUGUAACACUCACUGGGAGGAGCCACAGCUUCAUUCUUGAAGUCAGCAAGACCAAGAACCUACCGGAAGUAACCAAUUCCAGAUACAAUGUCAUACUACAUUUCAACAAACAUUGUGCUACAAUACAAUGCAUUUAAAAUAUUUGGACUUUUUCAAACUUUCAACUUUUA